rnacentral:rRNA from 1 species
GACGAACGCUGGCGGCGUGCCUAAUACAUGCAAGUAGAACGCUGAAGGAGGAGCUUGCUCUUCUGGAUGAGUUGCGAACGGGUGAGUAACGCGUAGGUAACCUGCCUGGUAGCGGGGGAUAACUAUUGGAAACGAUAGCUAAUACCGCAUAAGAGUAGAUGUUGCAUGACAUUUGCUUAAAAGGUGCAAUUGCAUCACUACCAGAUGGACCUGCGUUGUAUUAGCUAGUUGGUGGGGUAACGGCUCACCAAGGCGACGAUACAUAGCCGACCUGGGAGGGGGAUCGGCCACACUGGGACUGAGACACGGCCCAGACUCCUACGGGAGGCAGCAGUAGGGAAUCUUCGGCAAUGGACGGAAGUCUGACCGAGCAACGCCGCGUGAGUGAAGAAGGUUGUCGGAUCGUAAAGCUCUGUUGUAAGAGAAGAAAGAGUGUGAGAGUGGAAAGUUCACACUGUGACGGUAUCUUACCAGAAAGGGACGGCUAACUACGUG